GCGCUCGUAGUUUAGUGGUAGAACACCUGGUUGCCAAUCAGGGAAUACGGGUCCGAUUCCCGUCGGGCGCA
rnacentral:tRNA from 1 species